CCUACGGAGGGCAGCAGUGAGGAAUAUUGGUCAAUGGGCGGAAGCCUGAACCAGCCAAGUAGCGUGCAGGAUGACGGCCCUACGGGUUGUAAACUGCUUUUAUACGGGAAUAACGCGCCUUACGUGUAGGGCUUUGCAUGUACCUUAUGAAUAAGGACCGGCUAAUUCCGUGCCAGCAGCCGCGGUAAUACGGAGGGUCCGAGCGUUAUCCGGAUUUAUUGGGUUUAACGGGUGCGUAGGCCGCAUGUUAAGUGUGCUGUGAAAUGUGCGGGCUCAACCCGGGCCUUGCAGGGGGAACUGGCGGGCUUGAGUCCGCGGAAAGCAGGCGGAAUGCGUGGUGUAGCGGUGAAAUGCUUAGAUAUGACGAAGAACCCCGAUUGCGAAGGCAGCUUGCUGCAGCGGAACUGACGCUGAUGCUCGAAAGCGCGGGUAUCGAACAGGAUUAGAUACCCGGGUAGUC
rnacentral:rRNA from 1 species